GCAAAGUGACUGAGUUAAGGUAAAAGACUGUAAAUCUUUAAACGGGUACACCCCCUUUGCA
rnacentral:tRNA from 1 species